CAAGAUAGAAAGGGCAUACGGUGGAUGCCUAGGCGCUAAGAGUCGAAGAAGGGCGCGGUCAGCAGCGAAAUGCCACGGAGAGCCGUAAGCAGGCGACGACCCGUGGGUACCCGAAUGGGGCAACCCAACCGGAGUCAUAUCCGGUUAUCACAUAAUGAAUCCAUAGUUAUGUGAAGACAAGCCGGGGAACUGAAACAUCUAAGUACCCGGAGGAAAAGAAAGAAAAAUCGAUUCCCUGAGUAGCGGCGAGCGAAAGGGGAAGAGCCCAAACCAGACUCUUCGGAGUGUGGGGUUGUAGGACUGCCAAUAAAGAAGAUAAACUUAGGCGAAGCGAACUGGAAAGUUCGGGCAAAGAAGGUAAAACCCCUGUAGGCGAAAAGUUUAGAAUCGGAGGCAGGAUCCUGAGUACCGCGGGGCACGAGGAAUCCCGUGGGAAGCAGGGGGGACCACCCCCCAAGGCUAAAUACUCCUUAGCGACCGAUAGCGAACAAGUACCGUGAGGGAAAGGUGAAAAGCACCCCGGGAGGGGAGUGAAAUAGAACCUGAAACCGUAUGCUUACAAGCAGUCAAAGCACAAGCAAUUGUGUGAUGGCGUGCCUUUUGUAGAAUGAACCGGCGAGUUGUGAUAUGCAGCGAGGUUAAGUAUUAAAGAUAUGGAGCCGAAGCGAAAGCGAGUCUGAAUAGGGCGUCGAGUUGCAUGUUGCAGACCCGAAACCGUGUGAUCUACCCAUGGCCAGAGUGAAGGUGGGGUAAAACCCACUGGAGGCUCGAACCCACUGUCGUUGAAAAGGCAGGGGAUGAGUUGUGGGUAGGGGUGAAAUGCCAAUCGAACACGGAAAUAGCUGGUACUCCUCGAAAUAGCUUUAGGGCUAGCCUCAAUGAAUGGUAUCUGGGGGUAGAGCACUGAAUAGGCUAGGGGCCUUAUCGGUUACCGAACCUUAUCAAACUGCGAAUACCAGAUAUAAGAAAUUGGGAGUCAGACUGUGGGGGCUAAGCUUCAUAGUCAAAAGGGAAACAGCCCAGACCGACGGCUAAGGUCCCUAAGAGACGCUAAGUGGGAAAGGAUGUGGAACCGCCCGGACAACCAGGAUGUUGGCUCAGAAGCAGCCACCAUUUAAAGAGUGCGUAAUAGCUCACUGGUCGAGUGGUUCUGCGCCGAAAAUGUAACGGGGCUCAAGCGUCACACCGAAGCCACGGCAAGGGAUCGAUUCAUUAAGACUUCAGAAGAGAGAAAAUGGACUCAGGGAAAAAGCAAAGAGAGCUGAGGGUUUAAUGAAUCGAUUCCUUGGGUAGAGGAGCAUUGUCACAGCGUAGAAGUUGAACUGUAAAGUUUGGUGGAGCAGUGACAAGAGAGAAUGCCGGUAUGAGUAUGCGAAAAGGAAGGUGAGAAUCCUUCCCGCCGAAAAUCCAAGGUUUCCUGGGGAAGGCUCGUCCGCCCAGGGUAAGUCGGGACCUAAGCUGAGGCCGAAAGGCGUAGGUGAUGGACAAUUGGUUGAAAUUCCAAUACCACCUUUGAUUGUUUGAGCGAUGGGGUGACACAGGAGGACAAAGCGAGCGUGUGACUGGUAGAGCACGUCCAAGCUGCAAGAGGGUGCUGCAGGCAAAUCCGCAGUGCGAAACCUUGAGCAGUGAUGGGGAGCGAAAAAAAGUAGCGAAGCGCAGAGUUCAAACUGUCAAGAAAAGCCUCUAGUGAGAGAGAAGGUGCCCGUACCGUAAACCGACACAGGUAGAUGAGGAGAGAAUCCUAAGGCGCGCGAGAUAACCCUUGUUAAGGAACUCGGCAAAAUGACCCCGUAACUUUGGGAGAAGGGGUGCUCUAGAAAUAGAGCCGCAGAGAAUCAGUCCAGGCGACUGUUUAACAAAAACACAGGUCCCUGCAAAUCCGUAAGGAGAAGUAUAGGGGCUGACGCCUGCCCGGUGCUGGAAGGUUAAGAGGAGAUGUUAGCCGUAAGGCGAAGCAUUGAAUUGAAGCCCCAGUAAACGGCGGCCGUAACUAUAACGGUCCUAAGGUAGCGAAAUUCCUUGUCGGGUAAGUUCCGACCCGCACGAAAGGCGUAACGAUCUGGACACUGUCUCAACAAGGGACUCGGCGAAAUUGUAAUACCCGUGAAGAUGCGGGUUACCUGCGACAGGACAGAAAGACCCCAUGGAGCUUUACUGUAGCUUGACAUUGGAUUUUGGUAUAAAAUGUACAGGAUAGGUGGGAGGCAGAGAGCCGAGUACGCCAGUAUUCGGGGAGCCGCCGGUGGGAUACCACUCUUUUUGUACUGAAAUUCUAACAAGUGUCCCUAAGCGGGACAUUGGACAUUGUCAGGCGGGCGGUUUGACUGGGGCGGUCGCCUCCUAAAGAGUAACGGAGGCGCCCAAAGGUUCCCUCAGCGCGGGUGGAAAUCGCGCGAAGAGUGUAAAGGCAAAAGGGAGCUUAACAGAGAGACAAACAAGUCGAGCUGGUACGAAAGUAGGGCUUAGUGAUCCGGUGGUACCGAGUGGAAGGGCCAUCGCUCAACGGAUAAAAGCUACCCUGGGGAUAACAGGCUUAUCUCCCCCAAGAGUUCACAUCGACGGGGAGGUUUGGCACCUCGAUGUCGGCUCAUCACAUCCUGGGGCUGUAGUAGGUCCCAAGGGUUGGGCUGUUCGCCCAUUAAAGUGGUACGUGAGCUGGGUUCAGAACGUCGUGAGACAGUUCGGUCCCUAUCCGUCGCAGGCGCAGGAAAUUUGAGAGGAUCUGUCCCUAGUACGAGAGGACCGGGAUGGACGGAUCACUGGUGUACCAGUUGUACCGCCAGGUGCAUAGCUGGGUAGCUAAAUCCGGAUCGGAUAAACGCUGAAAGCAUCUAAGCGUGAAACCGGCCUUAAGAUGAGAUUUCCCAUAGCGAAAGCUAGUAAGACCCCUGAAAGAAGAUCAGGUAGAUAGGCCGGAAGUGGAAGCACGGUGACGUGUGGAGCGGACCGGUACUAAUCGGUCGAGGUCUUGA
rnacentral:rRNA from 1 species